ensembl:snRNA U6 U6 spliceosomal RNA
GUGCUUGUUUAAGCAAUACAUAUAUUAAAUUAGAAAUAUACAGAGAAGACCAACAUGGCCCCUGAACAAAGGAUGACAUGCAAAUCCGUGAGGCAUUCUUUAUUUGA